rnacentral:rRNA from 1 species
UUCGCAAUGCCCGAAAGGGUGACGAAGCGACGCCGCGUGAGCGAAGAAGGCCCUAGGGUUGUAAAGCUCUGUCGGGGGUUACGAAAUGUAGAUCGGUUAAUACCCGGUUUAUUUGACAAAGGCCCCAAAGGAAGCCACGGCUAACUCUGUGCCAGCAGCCGCGGUAAUACAGAGGUGGCAAGCGUCGUUCGGUAUUAUCGGGCGUAAGGAGCACGUAGGUGGUUUUGUAAGUCAGAUGUGAAAGCCUUCUGUUCAAAGGAAGAACGGCAUCUGAAACUGCGAAUCUUGAGUGUAGGAGGGGAGAGUGGAACUUCUGGUGGAGCGGUGAAAUGCGUAGAUAUCAGAAGGAACGUCGGCGGCGAAAGCGACUCUCUGCCCUAUUACUGACACUGAGUGUGCGAAAGCUAGGGGAGCAACCGGGAUUAGAUACCCCGGUAGUCCUAACUGUAAACGAUGGGCACUAAGUAGAGGGGUUUU